rnacentral:lncRNA from 1 species
GCUCCUUCACGAAAUCGGACUACCCUUUGCUGGUGGCUGUUCAGAAAGGAAAAUACGAAAUCGGUCUGUACCUUGUAUCCCAGGGAGCCAAUGUCAACCAAGCAGGCUUUUUGGGUUACACUCCGCUUCUCCGAGCCGGAGAAAAUGUUAAUCCAGAUUUUGCAAAGUUUCUGCUCAUUCAUAAAGCCAACAUCAACGCAAAACUCAUCCAACUGGACGGGCUCAACGCCAACAUCGGAUUAGACGUUCUUAGUCUGACCACGGCGGCGUAUCUUCGCAACUACGCCUUCGGUUCGCUUGGGGACCGUAAACGAUUUGACCAAGAUUACGCCGAAAUUUUGGAUGUCUAUUACGAAUAUUGCUUCAACUUUCAAGAAUAUGGUAAACUGUCAAAGAAGAGGCUUGAGAGCGAAGAUCAUCCUGAUCAAGCUUCAUUGGUCAAUGAAAAAAUCAAAAACAAAGCUCCAAACUGCUAAAGACACACAGAAAGUGAUGGAAAACAACACACCGACAGAGCACGUCUUGAACGCUGUUGGUUGAAACCAUCGAUCUAAUUUUCCGGUCCUCGCGUAAUCCUGGCAUUGAAGAUAAUGUUUUAGAUUUGAAGUUUUGGUGUGAACUUAUCGUAUUUUCAAAAUAUAGUGUGUUUACCUAUCCUUGUGAGUUAGCCUUCUUUGUCUUUAUUUGAUUGUUUUCAUCUUUUAAUUAUAACAAUUCUCAUUUAUAAUAUUUAUUUUGGAAAAAAAAAACUGUAUACUAAACCCAUAAUUUUAUCGCGUCAGCUCCAAUUUUUAGCGACAUUUUCAAAUGAUUUCCAAAGCAGUUGAACCGAUUUUCCAUUUUAAAAUUUAUUCCGCUAUAACUUUGAUAUUGUUCUAUUCACAGUUUAAAAAGUUUACUGAUAUAUUUCAGUUAUUUUAACGAAACCGAUAAUUGUUUUGUGGUAUUUAAAUAGACAAAAAAACUUAUUUAGAAUUUAUUUUUCGUUGACGAAUUAGUGACAAACGCCGUUCAAAUUUCUUUAUUGAGUUCCAUCGCAUUUUGAGGUAACUGAUUACACAAAUCUUCCCGAUUUUUCUUGAUUAAAUUUGCUUACACA